rnacentral:rRNA from 3 species
GAAAAGAAACCAACAGGGAUUGCCCCAGUAACGGCGAGUGAAGCGGCAAGAGCUCAAAUUUGAAAUCUGGCCCCUCCGGGGUCCGAGUUGUAAUUUGCAGAGGAUGCUUCGGGCGCGGUCCCCGUCUAAGUACCCUGGAACGGGUCGUCAUAGAGGGUGAGAAUCCCGUCUGGGACGGGUGGCCGUGUCCGUGUGAAGCUCCUUCGACGAGUCGAGUUGUUUGGGAAUGCAGCUCUAAAUGGGUGGUAAAUUUCAUCUAAAGCUAAAUAUUGGCCGGAGACCGAUAGCGCACAAGUAGAGUGAUCGAAAGAUGAAAAGCACUUUGAAAAGAGAGUUAAACAGCACGUGAAAUUGUUGAAAGGGAAGCGCUUGCGACCAGACUCGCCCGCGGGGGUUCAGCCGGUACUCGUACCGGUGUACUCCCCCGGGGGCGGGCCAGCGUCGGUUUGGGCGGUCGGUCAAAGGCCUCCGGAAUGUGUCGCCCCCCGGGGCGUCUUAUAGCCGGAGGUGCAAUGCGGCCAGCCUGGACCGAGGAACGCGCUUCGGCUCGGACGCUGGCGUAAUGGUCGUAAGCG